rnacentral:rRNA from 1 species
AGGAUUAACGCUGGCGGCGUGCCUGACACAUGCAAGUCGAACGAGGGCCGCAAGGCCUAGUGGCGGACGGGUGAGUAACACGUAGACCAACCAACCCCGAAGUUGGGAAUAGCUCUGCGAAAGUAGAGGUAAUACCGAAUGUGGUUCCAGGGCGGACAUCCGCUCUGGGUCUAAAGAUUUAUCGCUUCGGGACGGGGUCGCGGCCUAUUAGCUUAGUUGGUGGGUAACGGCCUACCAAGGCGAUGAUGGGUAGCUGGUCUGAGAGGACGACCAGCCACACGUGGGACUGAGACACGGCCCAGACUCCUACGGGAGGCAGC